UGCUAUACGUCUCUUCUCCUCCGAUCGACCCCCACGGAUACAUAUACGGUGGAUCCUCGCUCGCUCGCCGCCGGCGGCGGCGGCGCGUCGCUGACCUCAGUCCUGUUGCUUGCCGAGGAGGUCGUAGAACACCGGCGGCUUCUUGUACCCCUUGGCGCACGCCUGCUGCGUGGCGAAGGCCACGUGGAGGAGGGUGGCCUCGGCCCACGGCCUGCCGAUGAACUGGAGGCCGAUGGGGAGGCCGCCCCUGUCGUAGCCGACCGUGACGGUGAUGGCCGGCAGGCCGAGGAAGUUGCCGGCUAUGGAGUACCGGACCAGCGCGGCUGCAUGCAGUUAAGAGCAGUGAGCCAGUCAGGAACUCAGGACUCAGGAUGGAUGCACCGAUGCCGCCGGUGCAGA
rnacentral:misc_RNA from 1 species